rnacentral:rRNA from 1 species
AUUGAACGCUGGCGGCAUGCCUUACACAUGCAAGUCGAACGGUAACGGGUCCUUCGGGAUGCCGACGAGUGGCGAACGGGUGAGUAAUAUAUCGGAACGUGCCCAGUAGUGGGGGAUAACUGCUCGAAAGAGCAGCUAAUACCGCAUACGACCUGAGGGUGAAAGGGGGGGAUCGCAAGACCUCUCGCGAUUGGAGCGGCCGAUAUCAUAUUAGCUAGUGGGUGGGGUAAAGGCCUACCAAGGCAACGAGCUGUAGUUGGUCUGAGAGGACGACCAGCCACACCGUGACUGAGGCACGGCCCAUACUCCUACGGGAAGAAGCAGUGGGGAGUAUUGGACAAUGGGCGCAAGCCUGAUCCAGCCAUACCGCGUGGGUGAAGAAGGCCUUCGGGUUGUAAAGCCCUUUUGUUGUGAAAGAAAUCCAGCUGGCUAGUACCCGGUUGGGAUGACGGUACCCAAAGAAUAAGCACCGGCUAACUUCGUGCCAGCCGCCGCGGUAA